CACGUAGGGCGCAAGCGUUGUCCGGAAUUAUUGGGCGUAAAGAGCUCGUAGGCGGUCUGUUGCGUCCGCUGUGAAAACCCGGGGCUUAACCCUGGGCUGGCAGUGGAUACGGACAGACUAGAGGUAGGUAGGGGAGAAUGGAAUUCCCGGUGUAGCGGUGAAAUGCGCAGAUAUCGGGAGGAACACCGGUGGCGAAGGCGGUUCUCUGGGCCUUACCUGACGCUGAGGCGCGAAGGCGUGGGGAGCGAACGGG
rnacentral:rRNA from 1 species